AUAGAGACUCAGAGUCUGCAUAUCAAUAAGCGGAGGAAAAGAAACUAACAAGGAUUCCCUUAGUAACGGCGAGUGAAGCGGGAAGAGCUCAAAUUUGAAAUCUUCAAGGUUCUACCUUGACGAAUUGUAGUUUAUAGAAGUGUUUUCUGUUAGUAGGAGUGGCAAAAGUUCUUUGGAAUAGGACAUCAUAGAGGGUGAGAAUCCCGUAUUUGGUCAUUCCUUCUAGCUUCGUGAUACACUUUCAAAGAGUCGGAUUGUUUGGGAAUGCAGUCCCAAAUGGGUGGUAAAUUUCGUCUAAAGCUAAAUAUUGGCGAGAGACCGAUAGCGAACAAGUACCGUGAGGGAAAGAUGAAAAGAACUUUGAAAAGAGAGUUAAACAGUACGUGAAAUUGUCAAAAGGGAAGCGUUUGACACCAGUGUUGUUUUUCCGAAAAUCAAUUACGAAUGUUUUGUUUUUGAGAAGUUAUGACUUCAUCGGCUUGCUUCUCCCUUUACGAAACUUUCUUAAUGCACUUUUCGGUUAACAAGUCAACAUCAAUUUCUUUUGUUGUAAAAGGGUAUGAGGAAGGUGGCUUUCUUUUCGGGGAAAGUGUUUAUAGCCUUGUACCUCUGCAAUCGGAGAGAUUGAGGUCUGCAGCGUAGAUCCUUCGGGGUUAGAUACAUUUGUGCUAAGUUAUAGCUUUUCAUAGACAACUUGUUGACUAUGUUAAGUCUUGUAGCUUACUCGCUUAUGCUAUUUUACCUACGCUUAGGAUGUUGAUGUGAUACUGCGAGCA
rnacentral:rRNA from 1 species